GAGGCAAGCGUUUUACAAUCAAGCCACCUUCCCAGCCCCAAGUGUUUUCUUGGUUUGUCCUUUUGAUUUACCAACCAAUAAAAUCUGUGUGUCACUCUCUCUCUCACCACAACUUAUACCAUGCCAACAACUGUUGCGAGAGUCACUGAGAAUCGACCAGUCAUAGGAACGCCAAGGACAUAGAUUCUCUGUUGCAGCUGGAUAGACUUGUGGGCAGGUGCAGCUCUGAAAGCCUGAACUGGCUGCUGUUCAGCUGAGUCCUUGCCACCCUGAGAGCAAGAGAUCAGGCCGGGACAAGCUUCAGAGGCCUGGUAUAAAGCCAUUGAAAAAGACAGCAGCAACUCUCAGCUAGGAAACAACCAAAGCAGAAAAACACACUAAAACGAGCACUCUGUGAAGAAAAAGAAAAGG
rnacentral:lncRNA from 1 species